AGCGAACGCUGGCGGCAGGCUUAACACAUGCAAGUCGAGCGGGCACUUCGGUGUCAGCGGCAGACGGGUGAGUAACACGUGGGAACGUACCCUUCGGUUCGGAAUAACGCUGGGAAACUAGCGCUAAUACCGGAUACGCCCUUUUGGGGAAAGGUUUACUGCCGAAGGAUCGGCCCGCGUCUGAUUAGCUAGUUGGUGGGGUAAUGGCCUACCAAGGCGACGAUCAGUAGCUGGUCUGAGAGGAUGAUCAGCCACACUGGGACUGAGACACGGCCCAGACUCCUACGGGAGGCAGCAGUGGGGAAUAUUAGACAAUGGGCGCAAGCCUGAUCCAGCCAUGCCGCGUGAGUGAUGAAGGCCUUAGGGUUGUAAAGCUCUUUUGUCCGGGACGAUAAUGACGGUACCGGAAGAAUAAGCCCCGGCUAACUUCGUG
rnacentral:rRNA from 1 species